rnacentral:rRNA from 1 species
CCAUCGGAACGUCGAGUGGCGACGGGUGAGUAACACGUGGGUAAUCUGCCCUGCACUUCGGGAUAAGCCUGGGAAACUGGGUCUAAUACCGGAUAGGACCUCAAGGCGCAUGCCUUUGUGGUGGAAAGCUUUUGCGGUGUGGGAUGGGCCCGCGGCCUAUCAGCUUGUUGGUGGGGUGACGGCCUACCAAGGCGACGACGGGUAGCCGGCCUGAGAGGGUGUCCGGCCACACUGGGACUGAGAUACGGCCCAGACUCCUACGGGAGGCAGCAGUGGGGAAUAUUGCACAAUGGGCGCAAGCCUGAUGCAGCGACGCCGCGUGGGGGAUGACGGCCUUCGGGUUGUAAACCUCUUUCACCAUCGACGAAGGUUCGGGUUUUCUCGGAUUGACGGUAGGUGGAGAAGAAGCACCGGCCAACUACGUGCCAGCAGCCGCGGUAAUACGUAGGGUGCGAGCGUUGUCCGGAAUUACUGGGCGUAAAGAGCUCGUAGGUGGUUUGUCGCGUUGUUCGUGAAAUCUCACGGCUUAACUGUGAGCGUGCGGGCGAUACGGGCAGACUGGAGUACUGCAGGGGAGACUGGAAUUCCUGGUGUAGCGGUGGAAUGCGCAGAUAUCAGGAGGAACACCGGUGGCGAAGGCGGGUCUCUGGGCAGUAACUGACGCUGAGGAGCGAAAGCGUGGGGAGCGAACAGGAUUAGAUACCCUGGUAGUCCACGCCGUAAACGGUGGGUACUAGGUGUGGGUUUCCUUCCUUGGGAUCCGUGCCGUAGCUAACGCAUUAAGUACCCCGCCUGGGGAGUACGGCCGCAAGGCUAAAACUCAAAGGAAUUGACGGGGGCCCGCACAAGCGGCGGAGCAUGUGGAUUAAUUCGAUGCAACGCGAAGAACCUUACCUGGGUUUGACAUGCACAGGACG